rnacentral:lncRNA from 1 species
UCUCACUCACACACACCUUCACAUGCUCACAUGUUUGUCUUGCCUGAUGCCCCGAUCCCCUUUCUUCUUCCCUUCUUCCAGCCGCUCACUCCAAAAUUGCUGCCAUCGGACGAGCCGUCCCAAUAGUUUGCCCUCUUGAUUUGUUGCCUUGAGCCUGCUCCUCCUCAGCUGUAGGCAUCCCCGCAGCUGAACUCGUUGUCCACAGGCCACAGGGGUGACUGUGUACGGCGGCUUGUCUCCUGGGACGGUAAACAGCGACGGAUGUGUAGCAGGGUCCGAGGAGCAUCUGCGCAAGGGAGGAGGCAAGAUCGUCGAUCUGCACGGUGUCAUUUCCCUGGGCGUCCGUGUGGGUGAUGUGGGCGUGGAUCUCGUCUCUCGCAGCCAGCAUGGAUCCAGCUUCACUAUGAGGAUGCUAGCGACCUUGUCUUCCCCAAGCGCGCAGGCCAUACGCAUCGUCGUUGUUCCCACUCGAGGCAGCCCAACACAUCAUCACCAUCGUCCACAGCGUCAGUAUUCUUCGACCUGCAGGUCCCUCUUUUUUUCUUUUCAUGUCUAACAUUUUUUGCUUAACCUUUCCUCAGUGUGUAUGAUUGUAUACCAAUAUCAUGUAAUUGAGGUACUAUUUGUUAGUGAAUAAUCUUAAUUUUCUUCUCUACCCUCAACUUUUUUCUGGGCUUUGCUGACUGGCAUAGGUAGUGUUAUCUGGUGUACCUCCGUUCAUAUUCAACAAAUUUAGUAGUAUAAUCACUGUAUUGAGUUGGUAUAGUUUAGUAGUAUUCCCCAAAGACAAAUUAUUUUUAAUAAUUGAGUAGUCAAAUAGGUCUGACCGCAUUGUACAUAUACAAAAUAUAAUGAUAGACGAAUGCCCUAACUAUUGGGUUGUACUCCAUCAUAUGUCGAUAUAGAAUGUCGAUGCUUGGUAUUUAUUAACUAUUUUCGUCAUAUGGAUCUUGAUGCACAUUUCCAGUACUUCUGCAGAGUAGUAGACCAUAUCCGUGCUGCCAUACCAUGUUUACAUCUCUGAUUGUGUCAGUCCUCUCUCAAAUCUUCACUUGCCUCUUUUUUACUUGUCUUCUUGUGUCUCUCUUCUUCCUAUCAUAAAUUUAACUAUUAUUUAUGAAUUUCAUAUCUUCAAAUGUAACAGUGAUCCAUAAUACUCAAAAUCAUUGAAUAUUGUAGAUGAAAGUAUUUUAUUGUUUACAAAAAACUGCAAGCACAUAACAUACAUGCACUGGUAUGCUAGUUGUGCUAGUAAAUUAAUUGGCUUAAGAGGUGCAGAUAAACUUGCAAGCAGAGAACAUAUAUGCCCAGGUAUGCGUGAUUUGCUAGUAAAUUAAUUGGUUUCAGAGGUGCAUCUGUGACAUAGUACUACCAGACUGCCAGUGCGUCCCCAAUUGAUAAAGAAUACAAAGUCAUCAUUAGUAUGAUAAUACCUCACCAUUAGUAUCUUGGAUGGUUGACUCGUGAAUCAUCAUUUGAAUCACCGAUACAUCAUUUUCUUCCUCUUCAAACUAUGAGAUACAAUACCAUAAUUUAGAACAUCAAAUAGAACACUUGGGUUAAUCUUGAAAACAAUACUUUAUGUGAAAGUAUACACUUUUCACCUCAUUGUUGAAUUUCUUUUAUUUGAUAACUGUUUUGAGUUUCUUGUUGCUAGGACUUUUGACAUGUGUAUAAUUUUCUCCAGUCUUUAUCUGAAUCAUCUUCUACUGCGAUUACAACUAAAUUUCUAGAUUGAAUGUUGGGUACUUCCUUUUCAUAUUGAUUUCAACAAAAUACCUCCUCAUUGUGUAGUUUUUUUGCACCAACUUUUGUUUUGUUAUUUCGUAAAGAUUUUCCUUUCAAAUCCUCUUUACAUCGUUUUUGUCUCUCUUUGUGUGUUCUCUGAAAUAAUAUUUUGACCCCACCUGCAUGUUUACUUCUUUUUAUCCUCAACAGAAGUUUCUUGUUAGAUGAUGUAGAGUUUUUCUUUUCAAACACAUUUUUCUUAUCACCUUUAGUUGCAAUAUUGUAGGAACGAUUGCCUAUAAAAAACAUUUUGACAUUAUUACAAAAACAUGUUUUUAAUAUCAUUUAACGAUAGGUUAUAAAUAAUUAAUGCAUAUACAGGGAGAUAAUGUGUUGGGUGUAUUACCUCGGAUGAACUUCAAUUUCUUUAAAUUUGCUAUAUCUAGAUCAAUCUUUCUCACAUAUUUUUUUAGAUAUUUUGCUUGACCGAGAAGUUUUUUGUUAGAUGAUGUAGAUCCUUUCUUUCCAAACGUAUUCUUCUCACUUUCUCCUCCAUUCUUGGAGUGGCUCUUGCCCUGUUAAAAGGAAAUCUUGUUGGUGAUACUUUUAAUAAACUAUUUCGUACUUAUGAUAAUAGAACUGUUACUUAGUUGCAAUACCUCAUUAUCUCACUUUUGCAUAACAAAAUUUGAAGAAUCUUCAGUAACUUGGCUUUCCAGCAUCCGUCAUAAAGAACAUACUCUCAUUAUAAUUUUAUAGACCAUUUGAACAUAUUGUAUUGUGCAUGAACAUACCUCUUCAACUAUUUUGUUUAAAUAUUCGUCUCAAGCCUCUCAUCAAGUUCAAAAGUGAAGUUCACUUUGAAAUUUUCCAUGGAUACUUACAAUUUCCUUGAAUUUAACUUUAGUUAGAAUGUGUGUACUACCAUAAAGGUUUUGAAUUGAAUCCAUCGUGCUUUAGCAUGGUAUGCACAAGUGUUGCCUAAAGUCUGUUCGUAGCCUCAUUAAACAUCACAAAUGUUGUUGUUAUUGUAUCAUCGCUUACCUUGAGUUUAAGUAGGUACCGAAUGUGAUAGUGUCACUGCUUACUGGUAAUGGUACUGAAAAAAUGGCACCAAAGAUGCUCACUGUAGGACAGCGUUUUUGGCUGCUUCAUGACAUGAAUUGCAAAUAUAGUUAUGAUUUACCUUUCUUGUGCCAGAAAAGAAAAGUUUGCAUUCCAUGCACCACCAACCUUUUGUCUGUUAUAAUCUCUAAAGUUUUUGCUUUCCUUAUGCACACAAAUUCCUAACCGAAGUCAAGAGAAAACAUAUGAGAUUAGAUAAAAUAACAAAUUAGAGAAGGUAAGUAUAUUUCAUGAGCAAGGUUAUAGGCAAACCUUUGUUUUAAGAUGAACAUAUCACAGUUCUAUAAUUUAAUGUUUUUCCAUACUCCCUUACUUUGAAGGUCCUGAUUGUUAGGAAUAUGCAACUUGUAUUCCCAUGAGGCCAUAGGCCGAUAUAUAUAUAUACAUGUACAGGUGUAGAACAUAUGCAGGAAACCCCUUAUACAACGGGAUAAAUACAAAGGGGUACAUGACUUAUAUUAUAACUCUAACACCCCCCCUCAAACUCAUGGUGGAUGAACAACACUGAGUUUGGAGAGAUAAAAGCCAUGUUGUGCUCUAGUUUGGGCCUUCGUCAGGAAAUCCGCCAACUGUAACUCGGAAGGCACAUACUGAAGAGCAAUAACCUGAUCAUGCACACCAGCGCGCACAUAGAAAGCAUCAACACCAAUAUGCUUGGUGAGCUCAUGCUUCACAGGAGCGCGCGCAAUGCUAAUAGCACCUGUACUGUCAGAUAAGAGUAGAGUCGGUGUAGUGACAGAAACACCAAAAUCCUGAAGUAACCACCGUAACCAGGCCACCUCUGCCAUCAAAAGAGCCAUUGCUCGCAACUCAGCCUCGGCACUCGAACGGGAAACGGCAAUCUAUUUCUUCGUCUUCCAGGCAAUGAGAGAACCACCAAGAAAAACACAGUAAGCAGAAAGUGAACGGCGAUUUGAAGGAUCACUAGCCCACGUAGCAUCCGAAUAGGCCUGAAGUUGUAAAGAACUGGAGCGAGGAAAGAAUAGACGGUGAGAAAUCGUGCCCCGAAGAUAUCGGAGAACACGAAGGAGAUGACUAUAGUGAACCGAUGUGGGAGCAGAGACGAACUGACUCAGAAUAUGAACCGGAUAAGAGAUGUCCGGACGAGUGACAGCUAGAUAGACAAGACUGCCAACAAGAUGACGAUAACGCGUCGGGUCAGGGAGAGGAUCACCAUCAGUAGCACGAAGGUGAACAUUGAGCUCCAUAGGAGUCUCAACAAUGCGCUCGUCAGUAAGAGCAGCACGAGCAAGAAGAUCCUGGAUAUACUUUUCCUGGGAUAUAAAAAAGCCAUCAGAGGUAGAAGAGACUUCAAUCCCAAGAAAGUAGCAAAGAGGUCCAAGAUCAGACAUAAGAAACUGCUCACUAAGACGGGCCUUUACAAAGGCAAUAUACUCGGGGUCAUCCCCAGUGAUGAUCAUGUCAUCAACAUAGAGAAGAAGAAGAGUCUGACCACGAGGAGAAAGGUGAAUAAACAAUGCUGGAUCAUGAGCACUUGCUGAAAAACCAGCGGCAGUGACCACAGAGGCAAAACGCUCAAACCAGGCGCGGGGGGCUUGCUUAAGGCCAUAGAGAGAGCGACGAAGACGACAUACCAUGCCAUCAGGAACAGAAUACCCAGGUGGUGGCUGCAUGUACACCUCCUCACGCAGCUCACCAUUAAGAAAGGCAUUCUUAACAUCAAGCUGAGAUAUAGACCAAUGGCGUGCAGUAGCAACGGCAAGAAGUGUAUGAACAGUGGUCAUAUGAGCCACAGGAGCAAAAGUCUCGUCAUAAUCAUGACCAUGCUCCUGCUGAAAACCACGAGCCACAAGACGAGCUUUGUGACGCUCAAGAGAACCAUCGGAGUGAGUCUUAACCUUGUAGACCCACUUACAAGUGAUGGGACGGACUCCGGGAGGAAGAGAAACAAGAUCCCAGGUACCAGUGCGUUCAAAAGCAGCAAUCUCCUCUGCCAUCGCAAACUGCCAUUCAGGAUGAACAAAAGCCUGACGAUAAGAAGUCGGCUCAAGAAGAGCAGCACCAGUGGUGGGAAAUCCAAAGCGAUCAACAGGCGGACGAGGACGAGAACGCAAGCCAUAAGUAGGCUGAGGCUGAGAGGAGGAUGACGAUUCAUCCACAGAGGCAUCCACAGGUCGUGAACGACGAGUGUAAUGCUGAGGAAAAGAUGGAACAAUAGAAGGAGGAAUCGCCAAGGUAGAAUCGAGGGGUGGCGACGAAGAAGUCACCGGAGAUGAAGGUGUAGAAUCCGGUGACAUGCUAGGCGAGGAGACCGGAGAAGAUGGUGGCUGCAAAUCGACUAGAGGUGGAGAAGUAGAGGGAGUGGAACGAAUAGGCACAGGCUCGACGGGGGUGAUAGGUGAAUCGGGAAAAGUGAGAAAAGAGAUAUCCUCCAGUGAAAAAGUCGAGGAAGAUGGGCGUGGGUAGAAGGGACGAGACUCAUCAAAAGUCACGUCUCGAGAGAUACGCAUCCGACGACCGAUAGGAUCCCAACAACGAUAGCCCUUAUGCUCAUCACUAUAGCCUAAGAAGACACACUCAACAGACUGAGCGGUCAGUUUGGUGCGUUCGCGAGGGGUAAGAAGAACAUAGCAAACACAACCAAACAAGCGAAGCAUCGAAUAAUCGGGAGAACGAUCAAAAAGACGCUCGAAAGGAACACCACCCUGUAGAGCAGCGGAAGGCUGUAUAUUGAUAAGAUAGGUGGAGGUGGAGAUGGCCUCAGCCCAAAAAUGAGGCGGGAGAGAGGCAGUAAUCAUCAAUGCACGAGCCGUCUCAAGAAGAUGUCGAUGCUUUCGCUCAGCCACACCAUUCUGAGCAUGAGCACCAGGACAAGAGAAUUGAGAGAGAGUUCCUUGCUCAGCAAGAACACCACGCAACAUCUUAGAGAUAUACGCGCCAGCGGAGUCAGCACGAAAAACACGAAUGGGUGAAGAGAACUGAGUAUGAACCAUGGCAGCAAAACGCUUAUAAAUAGACAACACCUCACUACGAGAAGUCAUGAAAUAAAGCCAUGUGUAACGAGAGAAAUCAUCUAUGAAAAUAAUAUAGUAUUUAUGACCACCUUUCGAAGCGAAAGGAGCCGGACCCCAUAAAUCAGAAUGGACUAAAUCAAAAGGACGCUUAGACACUGACUCACUAUGUGGAUAUGGUAACUGAAUCUGCUUGCCAAGACGACAACCCUGACACUCUAAAGAGACAUCUCUUGAGACAGACCCCAGAAGACCUCGACGAACUAAAGACGACAACCGAGAACCACAUAGAUGACCAAGUCGAUGAUGCCACUGCUUGAAGGAACCAGUAACGGAGGCUACUGAAGCGGAGGAACUGGCAAUGGUGGUGGCAGCGGAAGGAACAUGAAGCCAGUCCAACUCCCAAAGACCCUGAGAAUCACGGCGGCGAGGGCCAGCCGCAACCAGAGUGUGCGUGCGACGGUCCUGGACAGAACAAGAGUUAACGUCAAGGAUGACGCGACAACCAGAAUCAGUAAGUUGACCAGCAGAAAACAGAUUCAUGGUAAGUCGAGGAACAUGAGCAACAUCAGGAACAGAAUAAGGAGUGGAAAGAUUGCCUCUACUAGCAACAGAAAGUGGAGUACCAUCAGCAGUUAAGACAUGAACAGGAGAAUCCAGCGAUCGAAGAGAGGACAAAGUGGAAGAGUGAGAAGACAUAUGAAAAGAAGCUCCAGAGUCCAGAACCCAUGGGGAUGUACCUGACUGUGUAGAGGGCGGUUGCUCAGGGCGGGAAGCAUCAGUCACAGAACCAGCAGUACCCGUCGAGGAAGAACCUGAAGCCGCGAGCAGACGCUUAAGUCUCAGAAUAUCCUGUUCAGUCAAAGCAAUGGCUGAAGCUAUCGAGGUAGAUGACGAAGUCCCUGAAGAUGAUGAUCGCGCCUUACGCGGGUGUUUCCUCUUCGUGUAGCACUGGGACUCAAUAUGACCAUCAUUGUUGCAGUAGUCGCAAUGUGGACGGGGGCGACCUGAGCCUCCAGAAGGAGUGGGCAAGAGCGGCGGAGCACUUGAGCGAGAAGGAGUCGGUGCAGCAGGGGGCAUGGAAGGAGCCCGAGUAGCGAGCACAGAGGGAACCUCCAGCAAACCAGCACCACGUAAGCGAGUCUCCUCAGCACGAAUCUCAGAAAGCGCCUCCAUGAGAGAAAUACGGCCACGAGCAAACGACUGAGCACGCCGGGGCUCAAACUCCUUACAGAGCCGAGACAGGAACUCGUAGACGCGAUGAAACUCCAAAUUGGCCUGGACAGCCUGGCAACAGGGGCAAGUACGACAACCAGCACUGCAGAGAGAAUCAAGCUGGCGCCAGAUAGCAGAACUCUAUGCAUAGAAGUCAUCAAUAGUAGAGUCACCCUGCUGAAGAGCAUGCUCCUGACGGACCACAGAAAGGUAUAGGGCAUCACCAGAGGGCUCAUAGCGCCGACAAAGACAGGUCCACAUCUCAAAGGCAGUAGGAAGACCCAGAAACUCAGAAGAAAACUGAGGCAGAACACUAGCAGUGAGAACAUCUGCAGCACGAGCAUCAUCAUCAAGCCACUGGGUGUAAACAGACAGAGCACCAUGAUACGUCUGAAGAGCCUCCUCAUAGGCCAAAACCCUCUCAUCAUAAGCACGAUCAGCAGCGUCAGCAGCAAGCUUAGCCGCAUCCUUGGCGGCCUGAUUAGCAUCCGUAGGAAGAACCAGUGGAGUCGGCGGAGUAGGGGCAACCGGAGGAACCGGGCGUGGCGGACAAUAGACCUCGCCAGAAAGAACACCCCAGAGACGGAUGCCACGCAUGUGAAUGCGCAUGAAGCCAGUAAACUCGGUGUAGUUAGUACCAUCAAAGAUCACAGGACAACGAGGAACAACAACAUAUCCCGAUGCAGCAAACUUUUUUUUUUUUGAGAUCCGAGCAGGCAAUUGAUCCUGCCGGCGGCUGGCAGCUAGAGGUGGGAUCCGGCCGGGUCAGCAGCAGCCGGGGACGCAGAAAGGCAGACGGAGGACCACACAGCUAGCGCACUCACGCGAAUAGCAAAAGGAAUCUAGCACCAGGAGGCAGGCCGAACACACCCACGGCUCCACGUGAGGCGGAGUCUACGUGCAGCGGGCGCGUCAAGCGACAGCGUCUGCGAGCAGCUCGGACGGGACGGCAGGGCUCGGGCUGGAGCUGCUGACGGGUAGAUAGCAGCAGGGGCGGACCUGCGGAUCAGACGAGACAGCGACGGCGCAAGAGAAGGAGGGCGACGGCUGCGUGGACGGUAGAUUGGAUCGAGAGCACGAGUUGCGCGUGCGAAAAAAAACCCUAAGGCUCUAAUACCAUGUUAGGAAUAUGCAACUUGUAUUCCCAUGAGGCCAUAGGCCGAUAUAUAUAUACAUGUACAGGUGUAGAACAUAUGCAGGAAACCCCUUAUACAACGGGAUAAAUACAAAGGGGUACAUGACUUAUAUUAUAACUCUUAACACUGAUUAUGUAGAUGAAACACUAUUUAAUUUUUGCUUCAGUUUCUGAAGGUUUAAAACUUAACAUACUACCUGCAAGUUAGUUGUGAGGAUAGUGUUGAUCACCUUGUGUAACAAUCUUCAAGAUCAUGAGUGCCUCUAAUCUGUAGUAGCUGGAUUUGAAUGUUUUAUUUAUGUGUACGUGAGUAUGUCGAUUAAUGGGCGGGUAGUCGUUCUACUGAUCUUGCAUGUACUGCUAGGAAAGAUGAGUGAUUAGUUACUUAAUAAUUACCUUGUUGGAUUUCAUAUUUGAUCUACCUUGUGAGUUAGCAUGUCAAAACUCUUUAGAUGAGCAUUGCCUUGAGUAUCGAAGUAACGUGGACCCAUUAUUCAAUGUUUAGUAACAAAUUCAUCAAUUUCAUAUACAAGUAUCAUGCAAAUUAUCUAAGUUUGUAUAGCUGAUACACACUGGAGGUAGUUUGAUCUCUUAUUAUGUGCACAUGGUACUUACUGGGUUGGUGUGAUCACUCGACAGAGUCGAUAACAAUCUAUUAGUGUCAACAGAGGAUAUUUGGGCGCUUGCAACUAUUGGAGGAAGAUGUCCAAGCGUCGAUCCCUGGAGGAAGACGAUGUUGAAGGUGGGUUCUGAUGUGCGGCACGUGCUAAACCUGAUUUGAUGCUAGCUUGCACGGUUGGUUUUCUUGCCAUGGCACCAUUGCUAAGCUAAUUGCCAAAGCUCAUAAAACACAACCUUGCCUUCUUGCAGUCUCACCUUUCCCCGAUUGCUCAAGAUAGCAACCGCCGCUGGUAGUCGUUCUACUCAUUUUGUAUGUACUGCUAUGAAAGAUGCAAGAUCAGUUACUGAAUAGUUACCUUUUUGGAUUGCAAAUUUGAUCCACCUUGUGAGUUAGCAUGUCAAAACUCUUUAGAUGAGCACUGCCUUGAGUAUCAAAGUACUAUUGAUCCAUUGUUCAAUGAUAUGCAACAAAUUCAUCAAUGGCAUAUACAAGAAUCAUUCAAAUUAUGUAAAUUCGUGCAGGUGAUACAUUGGAGGUAGUUUGAUCUCUUAUUAUGUGCACAUGGUACCUACUGGGGGUGGUGUGAUCGCUUCAUAGAGAAGAUGACAAUCGAGGAGUGUCAACAUAGGAGAUUGGGGCUCUUGCAACUAUUGGAGGAAGAUGAUGUCCAUGCGCCGACCCUUGAGGAAGAUGAUGUUGAAGGUGGGAUCUAACAUAUGCCGCGUGCUGAACUUGAUUUGAUGCUAUCUCACACGGUUGGUUUUCUCGCGCUGCCACCAUUGCUAACCUGAUUGCAAAAGCUCACAAAACAGAACCUUGCCUUCUCAUGAUCUCACCUUGCCCCGAUCGUUCAAGAUAGCAAACGCCGCCAGCCUGGUACAACAAAUCUGUCUAAAGUUAGACUUUGUUCCCAUGGUGUUGUGGCAUCAAAAAUUCAGAUGAUCUAUAUCUUUCUUAACCCCAUAGUUGUGAUCCUUUAAUUGUAGUUACAUGUGUUUCUAGAGGCAUCCUUCCAUUGUGUAUAAUUGGAAUAGUUAUUGUGUUCAUAGUUCUUUUGGCCAAUGGCAGCUAUGUAUAGAGAUUUUCUCAAAAGAAAUAAAAAUCCAUAUGCUAAGAGCUGGAUCUCAACUGGCUGGUCUUGCACAUACAUAUGACAUGGUAUUUUUGGGCAGUGUCAGCCAUGUACAGAGCCGGAUCAAACCAACCCAUGAAGCUAAUUGAUUGGACACACAUGUGCGGCAAGCAGGUGGAUUGUUCUUUUAACAUUGGUUGCAAAAGCACGUACCUAGGAAUUGACAGAACCAAUCUGUAGAUAGCCAUGGCGACGGCUCCGUUGAAGCGAUUGUGGGAUGUGGAGGUGGUUGAUGGCUACCGGUGAAAUUCUUUCCAAGCCAAGGUGGCCGGCGGCUGCUGUGGCUUCCGAUCCAAACAUGGAGCGCUUGGAUUUUUUUAGGGAUGGAGCUCUUGGAUUGGACAUAACAUGUACGCAGAGGGAAUAUUAGGUUGCACGCUAUAUUCCGUGGCAUUGGUGGGUAAUUUCUUCAGCUUUAAGAUUAAUGGAUGGUUGUGGUUUUCUGAUCUAAUAAAAUAAUGGACAGAUGUUCCUAAUUAUUGUGGGGUUUAAUCGAUGGUUGUGGUUUUCUGAUCUAAUAUAAUAACGGACGGAUGUUCCUAAU